rnacentral:rRNA from 1 species
UACGGAGGAUCCAAGCGUUAUCCGGAUUUAUUGGGUUUAAAGGGUGCGUAGGCGGCCUAUUAAGUCAGGGGUGAAAGACGGUAGCUUAACUAUCGCAGUGCCUUUGAUACUGAUGGGCUUGAAUGAACUAGAGGUAGGCGGAAUGUGAGCAAGUAGCGGUGAAAUGCAUAGAUAUGUCACAGAACACCAAUUGCGAAGGCAGCUUACUAUGGUUUUAUUGACGCUGAGGCACGAAAGCGUGGGGAUCAAACAGG